UACAGAGGGUGCAAGCGUUGUUCGGAAUUACUGGGCGUAAAGCGCGCGCAGGCGGGUUUGUAAGUCGGAAGUGAAAUCCUUCGGCUCAACCGAAGAACGUCGGCCGAUACUGCCGUUCUUGAGGGAUGCAGAGGAGAUUGGAAUUCCCGGUGUAGCGGUGAAAUGUGUAGAGAUCGGGAGGAACACCGGUGGCGAAGGCGGGUCUCUGGGCAUCUCCUGACGCUGAGGCGCGAAAGCGUGGGGAGCAAACGGG
rnacentral:rRNA from 1 species